AUUGAACGCUGGCGGCAGGCUUAACACAUGCAAGUCGAACGAGUGGCGGACGGGUGAGUAAUGUCUGGGAAACUGCCUGAUGGCGGGGGAUAACUACUGGACACGGUAGCUAAUACCGCAUACCAUCGGAUGUUCCCAGAUGGGAUUAGCUAGUUGGUUGGGUAAAGGCUCACCUAGGCGACGAUCCCUAGCUGGUCUGAGAGGAUGACCAGCCACACUGGAACUGAGACACGGUCCAGACUCCUACGGGAGGCAGCAGUGGGGAAUAUUGCACAAUGGGCGCAAGCCUGAUGCAGCCAGGCCGCGUGUAUGAAGAAGGCCUUCGGGUUGUAAAGCACUUUCAGCGGGGAGGCGUUACUCGCAGAAGAAGCACCGGCUAACUCCGUGCCAGCAGCCGCGGUAAUAC
rnacentral:rRNA from 1 species